rnacentral:tRNA from 1 species
GUAAACUUAGUUUAAAAAAAACAUUAGAUCGUGACUCUAAAAAUAGAGGUUAAACCCCCCUACUUUACC